rnacentral:rRNA from 1 species
ACGGCGUGCCUUUUGCAUAAUGAGCCUACGAGUUACACCUGACUAGCAAGUUUAAGGCUUUCAGAGCCGCAAGCGAAGCGAAAGCGAGUCUGAAUAGGGCGUAAGCUAGUUGGGGUAGACGCGAAACCUGGUGAUCUACCCAUGGGCAGGUUGAAGUUCCGAUAGUCUCGGAAUGGAGGACCGAACCAGUACACGUUGAAAAGUGUUUGGAUGACCUGUGGGUAGGGGUGAAAGGCCAAUCAAACCAGGAGAUAGCUCGUACUCCCCGAAAUGCAUUUAGGUGCAGCGUUUGCGAUAGUAUGUCAUGGAGGUAGAGCUACCAAUAGGGCUAGGGGGCUUCACCGCCUACCAACCCCUGAUGAACUCCGAAUGCCAUGACAUGUAGCAAGCAGUGAGGCGUUGGGUGCGAAGGUCCAGCGCCGAGAGGGAAACAACCCAGACCAUCAGCUAAGGUCCCAAAGUAUUAGCUAAGUUGAAUGAACGAGGUGGGAAUGCUAUGACAGCUAGGAUGUUGGCUUGGAAGCAGCCAUUCAUUUAAAGAGUGCGUAACAGCUCACUAGUCGAGCGUUCCUGCGCGGAAAAUAAUCGGGCAUUAAGCUAAUCACCGAAGCUAUGGACUCCUUCGGGAGUGGUAGGGGAGCAUUCCAGUGUUGCAGAAGGUGUACUGCGAGGUAUGCUGGAGAUACUGGAAAAGCAAAUGUAGGCAUGAGUAACGAUAAAUGAGGUGAGAGACCUCAUCGCCGUAAGACUAAGGGUUCCUCGUUCGAUGUUAAUCAGAACAGGGUUAGUCGGGUCCUAAGGUGUAGCCGACAGGCGAAGCCGAUGGCAAACGGGUUAAUAUUCCCGUACCUGCUAUACAAUAAAAGUGACGGAGUAGUGUAGGUGGUGCGUACUGACGGAAUAGUACGUUGAACUAACUGCAAAGUUAGGAUAGUACACCAAGUCCCUAGGACGAGGUGAUAAUCCACUGAAGCGACUUCCUAGAAACAGCGAGUAUAGCAGCCCGUACCGUAAACCGACACAGGUAGUCGAGGAGAGUAUCCUAAGGCGCUCGAGUGAUCCGUGGCUAAGGAACUAGGCAAAAUCGACUCGUAACUUCGGGAGAAGAGUCGCCCCCUAACGGGGGCCGCAGUGAAAAGGCCCAGGCGACUGUUUAGCAAAAACACAGGACUCUGCGAAAUCAAUAGAUGACGUAUAGGGUCUGACGCCUGCCCGGUGCCGGAAG